UUUAGUUGCAUCAAAUUCAACCACUUUUCCAUGAUCUAAGACUAAGAUGCGAUCUGAAUCCAUUACCGUAUUAAUUCUAUGUGCAACUGUUAAAAUUGUACGAUCUUUGAAGCGUUUGCGAAUGGUCUGCUGUACAAUAGCAUCAGUUUCAGCAUGGACUGAUGCUGUUGCCUCAUCCAGCAAUAAUAUACGGGUCGAAGUAAGUAAAACUCUUGCUAAACAUAUUAAUUGGCGUUGACCAGACGAAAAAUUUGCACCUCCUUCAGCAACCCUAGAAUACAAUCC